CAGGAAAAAUGGCUCCCCAAUAGCCGGCAUAGCCGGGUCUUUAUUCGCAGUUUCUGCUAUCGUUUGUCAGGGACUCUGCCAACUUUCCUCUCUACUCUUUUCUGUAUAUUCAUCAGUGAGAGAGCUGGUGUGAAAAUUCUCCAUCAUCGCAGAAAGUUCUAAUGGACAGUGCUGCUCCCAACAGAAAGAAUGGCAAAUACACAGGUCCUGAAGAGGCGGACAACAGAAGAAGUAACAAGGAGGGGCCAGUUCAGAGAGCAGCAAGAAUCUGCAUAGAAGUAAUCAUUUCUGGAAAUCCAGAUUACUUAGUGGCAUCUGCUGAAACACAGAUGAGUUAAAAUACUUGUUAUGAAGAGGGCCUGUACCAAUGAUUUUGAUCUUUCAUUAAAAAAGGAAAUUUCAAGCUCUUAGAAACAAAGAAAAAAUAAACGAGUGUUACAAGAAUGUUUUAAGCAUUCCGUAGAUGGCUCAAGAAUAGUAUAUGCAGGGCUGCCUUUUACAUUUAGGGCUGGACUGGGACAUGGUACGUAGGAAAUUGCAUGGUGAAGUGGUACAAGCAUCAGGCUCAAGAAUGAGAGUCCAGUUUGACAGACCAGAUGAAGAAGUGAUUAAGACCAUAGUUCUGGACUUAGACAAGCCUGGCUUUGUGACUUUGGACAAAUUAUUUGAUAACUGUAAGUGUAUUUAUCACUAAAAGGCAGAUAAUAAUAUUAUGUCAUACAGAUGCUCAUCCAUUGAUUCAACAAAUAUUAAUUGAGUGUCUUCCAUGUGCCAGGUACCUUUCUCCUCUAUAAAAUGGAACAGAAAACAAACAAA
rnacentral:lncRNA from 1 species